AGCUGAAGUUGUUCUGUUUCAGUUUGUUCUGAUUUUUCUUUAUGGAUUCAUCAUUUGUCAUGAUAAUUCUCUUGUUAAUGAAAUUGGUUGCUGUCACACAGCCAGGUUAUCUCUGAGCAGACAGAAUAUAAAAGUGUCUAAUUUAGCUCUGACUUCCAGUAGUGAUUUUACCACUUCCCCUAAGCUAAAAGCUGCUAUACUGUAUAAUCUGCCCUAAUGCUUAACUUAAAUUUUCCUUGCUGUUGCUUAAAUUCAACAUUUUUUGUUUUGUCCUGACCAGUGAAUGCUCUAAUCCUUUUCUACUUAAUGAGGAAAUUUACAUAUUUCCAGAGCACACUUUCUAGUUUUUCCGCUGAUUGACUUUUAACCUUUUUUCUUAUUUUCCAGAUUACUUACUGGUUUUGCUAUUUUAAUUUGAACUAUCUUCAGAGUGACCUGUCCAUCCUUUCUGAAAUGUGUUUGCAAAUUAACUAGUUCUUACGUAGACUUAGAGUAAGCUAAAUCCUAGUAAAUAUGACUGUAUUUCAAAUGCAAUGACACUAUAAAAAUACACGUCAGUAAUUCCAUUAGUGUCUUUAACAUUAAAGGUAAAAUGUUUCUUAAUUUAAA